rnacentral:misc_RNA from 1 species
GAUGAAGAACGUAGCGAAAUGCGAUAAGUAAUGUGAAUUGCAGAAUUCAGUGAAUCAUCGAAUCUUUGAACGCACAUUGCGCCCCUUGUAUUCCGAGGGGCAUGCCUGUUCGAGCGUCAUUAUAACCCCUCAAGCUCAGCUUGGUGUUGGGGCCUGCUGCACUGGCAGCCCUUAAAAUCAGUGGCGGCGCCAUCUGGCUCUAAGCGUAGUAAUUCUUCUCGCUAUGGAGUCCUGGUGGAUGCUUGCCAUCAACCCCCAAUUUUUCUAUGGUUGACCUCGGAUCAGGUAGGGAUACCCGCUGAACUUAAGCAUAUCAAUAAGCGGAGGA